UUCUUUGGUUAUCUAGCUGUAUGAGUGUACUGAGCGUCAUAAAGCUAGGUUACCAAAGCU
rfam:Trichinella spiralis unplaced genomic scaffold Scfld6, whole genome shotgun sequence.